rnacentral:rRNA from 1 species
UAAUACGGAGGGUCCGAGCGUUGUCCGGAAUUAUUGGGUUUAAAGGGUACGUAGGCGGAAUACUAAGUCAGAGGUGAAAUCCUGCAGCUCAACUGUAGAACUGCCUUUGAAACUGUUAUUCUUGAGUAUGGUAGGGGUAAGCGGAAUUUAUAAUGUAGCGGUGAAAUGCAUAGAUAUUAUAAAGAACACCGAUAGCGAAGGCAGCUUACUGGACCAUAACUGACGCUAAUGUACGAAAGCGUGGGUAGCGAACAGGAUUAGAUACCCUGGUAGUCCACGCCGUAAACGAUGCUCACUCGCUGUUGGCGAUAGACAGUCAGCGGCCAAGCGAAAGCGUUAAGUGAGCCACCUGGGGAGUACGAUCGCAAGAUUG